UACGUAGGGGGCAAGCGUUGUCCGGAUUUAUUGGGCGUAAAGCGCUCGCAGGCGGUCCGAUGCGUCGUGCGUGAAAGCCCCCGGCUCAACUGGGGAGGGUCACGCGAUACUGAUCGACUCGAAGGCAGGAGAGGGUAGUGGAAUUCCCGGUGUAGUGGUGAAAUGCGUAGAUAUCAGGAGGAACACCGGUGGCGAAGGCGGCCCUCUGGACGGUGACUGACGCUAAGACGCGAAAGCGUGGGGAGCAAACAGG
rnacentral:rRNA from 1 species